AUCUAGCCGACGAGUCCCAAAUGAAAUGAAACGCGUUUCCUGGAU
rnacentral:hammerhead_ribozyme from 1 species